rnacentral:rRNA from 1 species
GAUGAACGCUGGCGGCGUGCCUAAUACAUGCAAGUCGAACGAAACUUCUUUAUCACCGAGUGCUUGCACUCACCGAUAAAGAGUUGAGUGGCGAACGGGUGAGUAACACGUGGGCAACCUGCCCAAAAGAGGGGGAUAACACUUGGAAACAGGUGCUAAUACCGCAUAACCAUAGUUACCGCAUGGUAACUAUGUAAAAGGUGGCUAUACUACCGCUUUUGGAUGGGCCCGCGGCGCAUUAGCUAGUUGGUAGGGUAAAGGCUUACCAAGGCAAUGAUGCGUAGCCGAAUUGAGAGGUUGAUCGGCCACAUUGGGACUGAGACACGGCUCAAACUCCUACGGGAGGCAGCAGUAGGGAAUCUUCCACAAUGGGCGAAAGCCUGAUGGAGCAACGCCGCGUGGGUGAAGAAGGUCUUCGGAUCGUAAAACCCUGUUGUUAGAGAAGAAAGUGCGUGAGAGUAACUGUUCACGUUUCGACGGUAUCUAACCAGAAAGCCACGGCUAACUACGUG